CUUUUGGUUCAGGUAACAUGCGAUUCCUCGCGCUGCGCAACCGGAAAUUACGUCUGGGUUUCCAUCUCCGGUGUUGUGCCAAGUUACGCCUUGCGGAAUUCGCGCGAGCGAGGGAACCGCGAGAGGAAAGGAGGAAGGAUCUGAAAGGGAGCUAAAGAGGAAGAGAGUGAGCACGAAGGAGGCUGGAAAGCAGCAGUGGUGGUGCCGGAGUUAUUAAAGUUGUAACGCCUUGCGGUUAUGAUAUUCGCUUCUGUUUGUAAUAAUAACGUUUGCACGGGGAGUCAGAUAAGACGAGAGUUCUCAUCUCGUAACAUUAUUAAUGCAAAAAUCACAGAACGAAAAUACCCCAUAAGCCUCGAUUAAGGAAUUAACACAAAAAGUAAAGGUGACAUAUGGAAAAGAGUCAUGCAGUCCAGAGCGGAAUUUCAAAAUUCACGAGAAGCUCUGGUAUUAGCAAAACGAUAAAUCCUCGAGCAGCAUGGGGAGCACUAACGCUGAAGUCAUUUCCUACAGCAAGUACCAAGUUACUGCAGCAACAUCGCCAACUCCUCUCGGAGGGUAAUAAAGCCAUCUUGCAGAGCACCCCUCGGCACACUCCGCCCUCCGGAGGAGGCGGAUAGCGAUCUAUACUGGUGCACCCCUCUCGCCGUUGCUAGGCAACCACUCAACCCCUUCUGCCUCGCCACCCCCCGCGAAAGCAGAGAUUGCGCCCUUAUCUUGCGAGAUACCAAACCCUGGCCCUACCAUCCUCCAUCGGCUUCCUCGGCCUGGCAACUUUCGGCCUGGAUUGACAGAGUAGGGUGCAAUGCCAUCCGAUUCGAUCUCCGCCAAUAAAAUUAUCUAGCUCCGUUUAGCCACUGUACCGAGAUAUCCUUAUGCACGAGGCAAUAGAUUCUCGUACUUAACGUAAAUUCAAAAUUAUUCCAUUAUCUAUGAGAUAUU